rfam:Arabidopsis thaliana chromosome 3, complete sequence.
AAGAGAAGAACAUAUAAGGAUAGCCAAGGAGACUGCCUGAUAUCUUUUUUAUAAGCAAAAUGGUCAUUGCUUGAUACAACUUAUAGUGACUUCAAACAAGACACUAAACAUUUUACACAAAGAGUCAGGCAAGUCAUCCUUGGCUACCAAAUAUGAUUCUUCUAU